rnacentral:rRNA from 1 species
GAUGAACGCUGACAGAAUGCUUAACACAUGCAAGUCAACUUGAACUUCGGUUUGGGUGGCGGACGGGUGAGUAACGCGUACAGAACUUGCCUCACAGAUAGGGACAACAUUUGGAAACGAAUGCUAAUACCUGAUAUUAUGAUUAUAUGGCAUCGUAUAAUUAUGAAAGCUAUAUGCGCUGUGAGAGAGCUUUGCGUCCCAUUAGCUAGUUGGAGAGGUAACGGCUCACCAAGGCGAUGAUGGGUAGCCGGCCUGAGAGGGUGAUCGGCCACAAGGGGACUGAGACACGGCCCGUACUCCUACGGGAGGCAGCAGUGGGGAAUAUUGGACAAUGGACCAAGAGUCUGAUCCAGAAAUUCUGUGUGCACGAUGAAGUUUUUCGGAAUGUAAAGUGCUUUCAGUUGGGAAGAAAAAAAUGACGGUACCAACAGAAGAAGUGACGGCUAAAUACGUG